UGCCUUGAGGCGUGGCUUCCGGAGCUAACGCGUUAAGUCGACCGCCUGGGGAGUACGGCCGCAAGGUUAAAACUCAAAUGAAUUGACGGGGGCCCGCACAAGCGGUGGAGCAUGUGGUUUAAUUCGAUGCAACGCGAAGAACCUUACCUACUCUUGACAUCCAGAGAACUUAGCAGAGAUGCUUUGGUGCCUUCGGGAACUCUGAGACAGGUGCUGCAUGGCUGUCGUCAGCUCGUGUUGUGAAAUGUUGGGUUAAGUCCCGCAACGAGCGCAACCCUUAUCCUUUGUUGCCAGCGGUUCGGCCGGGAACUCAAAGGAGACUGCCAGUGAUAAACUGGAGGAAGGUGGGGAUGACGUCAAGUCAUCAUGGCCCUUACGAGUAGGGCUACACACGUGCUACAAUGGCGCAUACAAAGAGAAGCGACCUCGCGAGAGCAAGCGGACCUCAUAAAGUGCGUCGUAGUCCGGAUUGGAGUCUGCAACUCGACUCCAUGAAGUCGGAAUCGCUAGUAAUCGUAGAUCAGAAUGCUACGGUGAAUACGUUCCCGGGCCUUGCACUCCCCGCCCGUCAAAA
rnacentral:rRNA from 1 species